rnacentral:lncRNA from 1 species
ACCAAUUCCACCUCCAAAAUUUGUUCGAAUAGCGCAAGGUUAAUGAAUCCAAAUCACAAGAAAAAGAGAAAAACGUGGGAGAUGAGAAAGAAUGUGAAACAGGAUAGGAAUUUUCGACAAAAGAAAAAAAUAAAACCAAAAUAAAAUUAUUUAUUUUAAAAUAAAAUCCUACUAAAUCUCAACCCCCAUUAUCCCACUAACUAACAAAUCCUACUAAACCAACCCACUAACUCUCAACUACCUCAAAAUUUCACUUUCAC